rnacentral:lncRNA from 1 species
AGCAGACAUAAAAUUAAAUCUCACAACUUGGUGGACCAGGACAUUGAGCAGGGUUCAGCUCGGUAAUUUUUCUGCUUCAGUGGUACCACUUCAUGGUAUGCACAGAUGGGCAGACAUAGGAGAUCCAUGAUGGCUUUACUUUCAUGUCUGGUGCCUUUGAGAGGAAGACUGGAAGGCUGGGUUCAACUGAGCACUUGCGUGUGACCUGGUCACUGUGGCACUUUCUCGGUUGUCAGAUAUCUUACAUGGAAUCACAGAUUUUCAAAGAACGUGUCCUAAGAGGUCCAGAUGGAAGCUUCAAAGACACUGAAGAACUAACUUUGGAAGUGCCAGAAUGCUGCUUCAGCCUCAUUUUACUAGGCAAGCAACUUGCUAUCGUCAGCUGGGAUUCAAAGUGAGGAGAAUUAGACCACGGAAGAGGCCAUAUGUCAUCUAUCUCAGUGGUUAUCCUUUUAAAAGGAGAUACCUUCUAGAGAGCUGGUUUUCCAGAACAUUCCUGCCUGGAAGUCAUACACCAUCACUUCUGCUGCGUUCUAUUUGUCUCAGCAAGUCACAGUGCCAGCCAAGAGCCAAUGCAGAAGGAAAAACACUUUAUUUUUUGUUCAGAAGAAUUGCAAAAAAAUCUGUGGCCAUCUUGAAUCCACUAUAGCCUUCCCUCUGGCCACAUAUUGUUUAAAUUCUUAAAAUAUUCUCACCCCCUCUCGGAGUGGAGCACAGUCUCAUCUCAUUAAAGUGUCAGGCUCGAAGUUCAAUACUUAACUAUCAGUGCUAUAUUCAGAUGUGAGAGCAGCUCCUCAAGUAUUUCUUAUCUGUAUCUACAGACCUAUAAAUUGUUUUCUGAGACCUCCCCCUAAUCUCUCCAACUCCCUCACCCCCACCGGGCAUGCAGUGGUGAGAAAGGUCAGGAAAACCACAGUAGACACUGUGGUAAUUCUAAAACCUGCCUGGAAUUAAUAAUGUCACCUCACUAUAAAACCAGUGGUUCUAUUUCUAGGGAUACAAGCCAAAUAUAAGUACAGUAUGUUCACUGUAGGAUUAGUUAUAUAGGAAACAGCCUCUAUAUGCAAAAAUAAGAGAUAAAUUAUGCUGUAUCCAUAUAAUAAUAUUAUCUAUUAAAAGUGAUGUAGAACAGCUAUUUCUUUACUCCACCUUUUAAAAAAUAUUUAUUGAGUUUCUAAGGUGUGCAAGGCAUUCUGUAAAAAAUCAGUAAAGAACAGAGGUAAUCUCUGGCUUCAAGGAUCUUGGAGAUCAAAGAAGCAAGAGUGUCAUUAAACAGAUGACUAAUGGAUAUAUCUGACUGAUUAUAAAUGUGAUAAUCACUAUGAGGGGAAAUUAUUGGGUGCUAUUAAAUCAUCAGUGGACCUAACCUACAGGGAGGUGACUUAGGG